GGAUUGUCCAAUGUGACACUGCAAAGUCCUUGAGGAGGGCAAGCCCUGCUCAGUAACAUCCAAGCCAUCCGUGUGCUGUCUACCACAUUCCCGUCCUGAAUCCAAACCCGGCUCUUUGCUGCUCCCUGGGAAGGAAAUGGAUCCUAUCCCAUUGAAAACCAGUACAUCAGCCCAUUCUUCAGCCAGCACACCCUGUCUCUCUUUGUCUCACACCUGGACACCUGCUCCAGAUGUAUUCUGCGAGGGACAGGAUCAAAACUGCACUUAAAAUCCUGAAAUAGAACCUGCAUUGCCUUCCCAUCAUCCAUGAGACGGGUGACCUUAUGUUAGGGAACCAGUGAGUGGGAGCCAGGGUGCGCUUGAGUUUCGGGAAUGCCGCAUCUCCUCGUCUCCUCAUUUCCCAGGCAGACCCUGCCACGAGGGCGUGGCCGAAGCGGCCCGAGGAUCCGGGCAUUCUUAGGAGAAUGCUGGGCAAGGGCCACAGGUCGGUGACUGCAGGAAAUUGCCAGCAGGGGAGGCAGCCUUCCUUCGUACCUGAUGUGGAUUCCCUUCCCCGGACAUCCUAGAGAUAUUUUUAGGAUUGGUGACUGAUAAACACAAUGUGUUUUGAUGGA